AUCCCUGACUUCAGCACCAGCUCCUCUUUAUCCGGAGUUCCAGCAGGAUCUGAGGGCUGAGAGAGCUGAUACCAGUGGGGAAGCCAGGAGGAAUGACAAACUUGAAGUCAUGGAAUUGGAUUGCAGCCCUGAUUUACCACCAACUACACAUGACCUUGAGAAAUCUCUUAACAUCUCUGAGCCUCUGGUGAGAAGAAAGCUGGCAGGCCAAGCUGGGAAGCCAAGAAAAGGCUGUUUCUAGUUCCAGUGAAUUUCAAUCCCUGUGCAUCCUGUGGACUGAGGCUCCAAUGCUUCCAAAACUCAAAGCACCUGCCAAAGCCAGCAGUCAUUGUUCACAACAGGCAGCCCAGGGCUCUCGGCUCCAAGCGUCUGCCUGUGCAUUAGCCAUUGCUGCCCACCCCCAGGCCCUCCACUGUAGUACCCAAACCCCAAAACUGCCUACACGGCAAGGGCAGAGCCAGGCUGGGGAGAUGGAAUGCUACUCCGGGUCUGAGUGUGUCUGAAAAGACUGCAGGGCUUAUUCACCAGAAGCAUCAGAAGUAAAAGAAGUACUGAAUGGAAAGGAGCUGACUACUGGGAGAGGCCCAGGCCUGGCCGGAAGGACCAGCGAUGAGGGGUGGAUUGCCCCAGGACUCCAAAGUUGCACAUAGGUGGCAGCCCACCUUGGACGGUCCUCAGAGUUGGUACAGGAAGCAGAGACCCAAACCCUACCUGUAGGCCUGCAGUUCUCCUAUUUCCUCUGGCCAGAUCUGCAUCUCAUUUCUCAGGUCUCCUAUCUUUUUUCAUUACGGGCCAGGUCAUGGCAAUUUCCAGAAUUUAGUCCUCCCUCUGAUACUUCGGUUGUGGUUGCCGAUGGCAUGCCCAGGUGGGAGAGGGAGGCCAGGUGGCAGGUGCUGGUGCUGUUAGCAGUGCUGACCUGCCGUCUUGCUCCAGGGCUGCUGGAGGCCUGGCAGAGAUGCUCAGGAAACUCUUGACUCAGCUCAUGUGUGUGCCGUGGUCCUACUUGGGGAUGAACGCAAGGGAGCCUGGACAAAUUCCCAUUGAUGUAGUUGCUCACUGCAUAUGGCAUGUGUGUCUAGGAACACACGCGCACACACACACACACACACACACACACACACUUUCUUUUGUAAAAGAAUAAUACAAAGCUACAUGGCUAUAUGUAUAUGCAUAUAUAUAGACAUAGAUAUCAUAUGUUUAUAAUGCUUUAUAGUUUACAAGCAGUAGGAAUUGUGUGGGCACAGUGUCUUCUCUCUUCCUGCAACCCGGAUACAUUUUGCUUAGUUUGAGAUUAAUAAAUAGGAAGAGAGAGGCAGACAGAUGAUGCUUUCUAGUGAAAUGAGCAGAGUUAGAAGUAAAAUAGCCACGUGACUUUGGGCAAGUUAUUCAAGGCUGCAGCUUUCUUCUCUAUAAGAUGGGAUAAUAUAUUAUCUACUUGAGCAUACCUAGUGCCCAGAUCUUGGUUUCUAGUACUGUUCUCCAAUAAAAGGAACUAGGAUCCUUGGGAGAAAUAGCUGAUUCUAGGGCUGGGGCAGAAUGGAAGAUAAGCCUGGAAAGCUAAAAAUAAAUAAAUAAAUAAAUAAAAAAGCAAGUUGGUAUCAUAGAAGUGAAGAGUAAAAAAGUGGUUACUAGAGGCUGGUAAGGGUAAGGGGGAGGAGGAGAGACACAGAGGUUGGUUAAAGGACACAAAAUUACCCUAGAUAGGACUAAGUUUUAAUGUCCUAUAGCACUAGAGUUACUAUAAUAAAAAUAAUUUAUUAUAUAUUUUCAAAUAGCUAGAAGAGAGGACUUUGAAUGUUCCCAACACACAAAGCAAUGAUAAGUGUUUGAGGUGAUGGAUUUGCUAAUUACUCUGAUUUGAUCAUUAUACAUUUACACAUGUACUGAAAUAUCACACUGCACCCCAUACAUAUGUAUAAUUAUGUGUCAAUUAAAAAUAAUAGACAAAGAAAUAAAUCAAUCAAAGAUGAGCCUGGUGCAUCUUGGAGUAUCAGAAAGUAAGAAGGUACUAAAAAACAAAACAAAACAUCUAACCCCCAAUAAAGGUGGCGAUGGUGAUGGUGGCGGUAGGUGGGGGGCAUGAAUCUGCCAAAGGGACACAGGGGAGAGCUGAAAGGGCCAAAGUUGGAACAAUUUAAUCCUUUUCCCAUUUAGGAAAAAAAAGUGCAGCUCGCUGCCAGCGCUCAUUUAAUUUUAAAUAAACAUGCUCUUUGAGGCUAAAGCAAAUCUGACUGAUGUUCAAUAUGAAAAUAAAACAGAAAAACUGUUCUUGGAGUUAUUUCUAAACAGAACUAACAUCAGAAUUAUCUGAAUCAUCAGAAUUGUCUAUUUCAGAAAAAUCGGAUUCAUCAAAUGAAUCUUCGGCCAACAACUGUUCGAGAACUAUGUUAAUUAACCUCACAUGUAGGAAUCCUGUAUUUCCUAGGAUUUGACAUUUUCAGUGAUUGAGAAGUACUAUAUUUUGUAAAUGGAAAAACCACUACUAAAAACAGAAUGGUAUCAGUAGAACGAUGUCUUUUCUUUCCCAAUUCCAUAUACUAGAGGGAUCCGAAAAUAAUAAUAAAAGUGAGAUAUUUCGUGGCAAAGUUAUCUCGAGGUAAACGCUGCAGCUGCAAGCACCACCAGCGAAUAUUCCCGAGGCAAACGGGGAAAGGGUUAAG
rnacentral:lncRNA from 10 species